UACGUAGGGUGCGAGCGUUGUCCGGAUUUAUUGGGCGUAAAGGGCUCGUGGGCGGCCUGUCGCGUCGGGAGUGAAAGCCCACUGCUUAACGGUGGGUCUGCUUCCGGUACGGGCGGGCUGGAGUAUGGCAGGGGAGACUGGAAUUCCUGGUGUAGCGGUGGAAUGCGCAGAUAUCAGGAGGAACACCGGUGGCGAAGGCGGGUCUCUGGGCCGUUACUGACGCUGAGGAGCGAAAGCGUGGGGAGCGAACAGG
rnacentral:rRNA from 1 species